GGGCGGUGGCAGCCAAGCUGGGGGGCCGCAACCGCUCCGCGCAGGGGGGGAGCCGCGGCGGAGGGAGGGGGCGCCCGGGGAAGCGGCGUGUGCCGCCGGGGAGGCGGAGGGGGAGGCUGCACGCGCAGGCACCGAGGGCGAAGUUGGCGGCGGGGGGGGAACAGGCUUGGCGUGCACGGAGAGAGCCCGGCUCCACGGGGGAGGGGGACGGCAGCAGGUGAGGGGGUGGCUGCGGAGCCCGGGGAGGAGGGAGGGGGAGCGGGGAGCGAGCCGGAGGUGCGAGGGGAUCCGGGGAGCAGGGGAGAGGCGGCGCCGCUCUGCCCCGGUGCCCCGCGUCGCUUCAGAGGGGCAUCCCCGGGCGCAGUCGCUCGUGGUCCAUCGCUCGCUUCGGCAGCGCGGAGGGUCCGGAGUCCGGCGCGGAUGCGGUGGCGGCGCCCGGGGACCCCCGCCGCGGGCAGGGCACCGCACGCUGCGCGACGCGGAGCGGAGAAGCGGCGCGAUCCCGGCGAUCCCAGGAGAAGCUGCACGGAUCCACUCGCAAAGAAAAAUCUACCUUCAGGAGUGAAGACAAACUCUCAAGACCUUCAUCUUUUUCACCGAGCCAGAUGGAGCUUUUCAAGGGCAGAUGCCGGACACACAAAUUUCAAGCAUGACAGGAAAGAGGUCCCUUCUGCUCGUUUCAUUUUGUAGGAGAAGAAAAUAAUAAAACUUCUCAUAGAUCCCUGGACUGCA
rnacentral:lncRNA from 1 species